GCCAUAACUCAGAGGCAGAGAAUCUGCUUUGUGUGCAGAAGGUCCGCGGUUCAAACUCUGGCAUCUACA